UACGGCCAUAUCACGUUGAAAAACUGGUUCUCGUUCGAUCACCGAAGUUAAACAACGUCGAUCCUGGUCACUACCUAGAUGGGUGACCGUUUGGGAAUACCAAGUACUGUAA